CCAGAGAUGGAUUGGUGCCUUCGGGAACUGUGAGACAGGUGCUGCAUGGCUGUCGUCAGCUCGUGUUGUGAAAUGUUGGGUUAAGUCCCGCAACGAGCGCAACCCUUAUCCUUUGUUGCCAGCGGUUCGGCCGGGAACUCAAAGGAGACUGCCAGUGAUAAACUGGAGGAAGGUGGGGAUGACGUCAAGUCAUCAUGGCCCUUACGACCAGGGCUACACACGUGCUACAAUGGCAUAUACAAAGAGAAGCGACCUCGCGAGAGCAAGCGGACCUCAUAAAGUAUGUCGUAGUCCGGAUUGGAGUCUGCAACUCGACUCCAUGAAGUCGGAAUCGCUAGUAAUCGUAGAUCAGAAUGCUACGGUGAAUACGUUCCCGGGCCUUGUACACACCGCCCGUCACACCAUGGGAGUGGGUUGCAAAAGAAGUAGGUAGCUUAACCUUCGGGAGGGCGCUUACCACUUUGUGAUUCAUGACUGGGGUGAAGUCGUAACAAGGUAACCGUAGGGGAACCUGCGGUUGGAUCACCUCCUUA
rnacentral:rRNA from 1 species